rnacentral:lncRNA from 10 species
GUUGGACCUUCCGGAGCUUCUCAGAAGACAGAGGGUUUUCUUUUGAGGUAAAUUUGAUAGUACAUUUUGAUAGUACAGGAGGCGAUACGGCAUGGUGACAGAAAAGCGCCGGCUUGGUUAGCGGGACCACCUGGCAGGGCUGCAGGCUGUGCCACUUACCAGGCAGGGGACCUUGGGCCAGCUGCUUGGCCUCACUCACCCUGUUUCCUCAGCUGCAAUUGGGAUGAACAGACUGCCUGCUUCGGGGUUGCCUAAAACUCACAUUGCUUAAUGAUGUGAAAUGCUUAGCGCAGUGCCUGGCAUAGAGAGAAUUCUCAUUAGAUGAUACCUCAGCUGGGCUUUAGGAGCUACAGAAGAAGCUGCAUCUCCAUGAGCUCAGCGUGUUUCUAGCUUUCCUUUUUGUUUUCUAUUCAACCUUUCACCCAACUCAGCUUCUCAAUCCCUAAAUGACAAAGGUUUGGGAAGGAAGACUUGGACCGAUGCUUGCAUUUGUUUCUGAGAAUUAAACGUUAUGUUUUCUUCAAUCCAAAUAGGUUUGCUUGUACAGCCUUGUUCAAUGGUUUUUUUUUUUUUUUUUCUCCAUGAUAAAUGACUCUCAACUUCUUUUCCCUCAUUUAAUUGCUUAUCUACAUACAAUGCCUGGAAGGAAAUAAAUGUAAUGGCCCGUAGCAGUUGGCCUUCAGGUAUCAAGUUUAAGUCCCUUUAAGCAGAACAGCAAAUUGAGCACAGAAUGAACUGGUUUCAUGGUAGCGUACUGCAAUUAGAUGCAAGAAUAGGGAAAGCAGGGUGCUUCAAUUGGUGACACAAUUAGUAUAGCACUGGGGGACUUCUCUUUCCACUUCUUCAACUCCGCCUGCAUUCCGCUGGCUGAAGAGUUGAUGACAUCCCUGAAAAAUCUUCCCUCUCUUGUUUCUCUGAUGCCACCUCUGUGUUCUCCGCCUCACUGGCCACACUUCCUUUACCUCCCAAACUUUUAACUCUGAGUGUCCCAAACUUGUCU